GCCGCUCUAGCUCAGCUGGUAGAGCAGCUGAUUCGUAAUCAGCAGGUCGGCAGUUCAAAUCUGCUGGGCGGCUCGA
rnacentral:tRNA from 6 species